rnacentral:misc_RNA from 1 species
GAUGAAGAACGUAGCGAAAUGCGAUAAGUAGUGUGAAUUGCAGAAUUCAGUGAAUCAUCGAAUCUUUGAACGCACAUUGCGCCCCUUGGUAUUCCAUGGGGCAUGCCUGUUCGAGCGUCAUUUGUACCUUCAAGCUUUGCUUGGUGUUGGGUGUUUGUCUCGUCUCCGCGUGUAGACUCGCCUCAAAACAAUUGGCAGCCGGCGUAUUGAUUUCGGAGCGCAGUACAUCUCGCGCUUUGCACUCACAACGACGACGUCCAAAAGUACAUUUUUACACUCUUGACCUCGGAUCAGGUAGGGAUACCCGCUGAACUUAAGCAUAUCAAUAAGCGGAGGA